GAGUCGGAGCCUACGAGAGCCAUAACCAGAGUCUGAGCCUGAGCUAACAACAACAACUAGGAGUAUGUUGAUGGCCCGAGCCAUAUGGGACAUCAUUGAAGAAAGUCAUGCUGAUUUGAAGGCAAGUGCAAGUGUUCCAACAAGAUGAUGCAAGGGAUCCUGGAAUAAAGAUCGUGAAAAGGCACGGAACAAACUACAGAAGAAUUUCAAGGUACGUUUGAAACAUUAAGCGAUUUACUUGGAAUACCCCGAAAUGAGUCAAGGGAGAGCGUUGGAAUUUGUGAUCCAUUUUUUCUGAACAAUCUAGAAACUAUUGGAUGAAUCUUGCAAGAGUUGCAGACAGCCGAAGAACGUGAGAAGACCAACUUGCAAAGAAGAAUAUGCCGGAAAUUACAAAUAUGGGCAGCAAGAAGCCACGUUGAAGAAGGAAAACCUUAGUCACUAUUUGUGGUCAACAAAGUAACUUCUAUGGUUGAGAAGAGUACACGUUGCUGUAAAAUUAAGUGGCAGAGAGCUGUCUUGUUGUCUGUGGAGAGGUUCUAUAAAUAGUGCCUCUUCUCGUUGUUAUGAGGGCAUGGGGAGUUAAGAGAAUAAACUCUAUAUCCUUCUACUCCUUCACCCACGCCAACAUUUCCUCCCACAAUUAUGUAACACCAUAUUUCUGUCAGCUAAAGAAACUAUAUUCUUGUCCCAAAAGCCUUACCUAUAUUUCUCAAAAUAUCUUAUUUUUGUCCAUCCUCGACCAAGUAGUACCUUAUACACUCAUACACUUGCACACAUCAAAACACAAACUAUCAUAAAUACAAAAAUCAUGCUUCUGCACAACAUCAAAUACUAAUGGUAGUAUUAGAGCCUCAUAGCUCAAGAAUGUACAAUCGGUAUCGGAGCCAGACACGUUUGGAUCGUUUUGGGCGUUUGUCAUCACCAUCCUUAACUAAAAUUAAAGCCGGAGCCAAAGCUAACAACUAUAACUAGGAGCAUUUUGAUGGCCCAAGACAUUUGGGACAUCGUUGGAAAAAAAAGGUAUCGGAUGCACAUCAUGCGGACCAAGUUCAUCUAAAUUGCUAUUGAUAAUAUGAAUUCCGUGACGAGAUCCACAUGAUUAAUGAUUUCAAUGUUUUUAAUAUAUGUACUAUAGUCUAUUCUUUUGAUAUUCAUGUA